rnacentral:rRNA from 1 species
CCUANGGGAGGCUGCAGUCGAGAAUAUUCGACAAUGGGCGAAAGCCUGAUCGAGCGACGCCGCGUGCGGGAAGAAGGCCUUCGGGUCGUAAACCGCUUUUGCGUGGGAAAAAUUUUGAUGGUACCACGAGAAUAAGGGGUUGCUAACUCUGUGCCAGCAGCAGCGGUAAUACAGAGACCCCAAGCGUUAUCCGGAAUUACUGGGCGUAAAGAGCGAGUAGCCGGUUGUGUUAGUCUUACGUUAAAUCCCAAGGCUUAACUUUGGGACCGCGUAAGAAACGGCACGACUAGAGCAGCCGAGAGGCAAGCGGAACGUACGGUGUAGGGGUGAAAUCCAUUGAUAUCGUACGGAACACCAAAAGCGUAGGCAGCUUGCUAGCAGUUUGCUGACGGUCAAUCGCGAAAGCGUGGGGAUCAAAAAGGAUUAGAUACCCGUNUANUC